rnacentral:rRNA from 1 species
UGAGGAAUAUUGGGCAAUGCCCGCAAGGGUGACCCAGCAACGCCGCGUGGAGGAUGAAUGUCGUAAGAUUGUAAACUCCUGUUAGAGGGGAAGAAUAGUACCGGUUGGACCGGUAUAUGACUGUACCCUCAGAGAAAGCCCCGGCUAACUACGUGCCAGCAGCCGCGGUAAUACGUAGGGGGCAAGCGUUGUCCGGAUUUACUGGGUGUAAAGGGCGCGCAGGCGGGAUAAAAAGUCAGUGGUGAAAUCCUACAGCUUAACUGUAGAACUGCCUUUGAUACUUUUAUUCUUGAGUUCGGGAGAGAGAGACGGAAUUCCAGGUGUAGUGGUGGAAUACGUAGAUAUCUGGAAGAACACCAGUUGCGAAGGCGGUCUCUUGGUCCGACACUGACGCUGAGGCGCGAAAGCGUGGGGAGCAAA